rnacentral:rRNA from 1 species
UACGUAGGGUGCGAGCGUUAAUCGGAAUUACUGGGCGUAAAGCGUGCGCAGGCGGUUUUGCAAGCCAGAUGUGAAAGCCCCGGGCUCAACCUGGGAAUGGCAUUUGGGACUGCAAGGCUGGAGUUUGGCAGAGGAGACUGGAAUUCCUGGUGUAGCAGUGAAAUGCGUAGAUAUCAGGAGGAAUACCGAUGGCGAAGGCAGGUCUCUGGGCUAUAACUGACGCUCAUGCACGAAAGCGUGGGGAGCAAACAGG